GAAAGCAGGCGAGGUGAUCGCGAUCGGCGCGUCUGCCGUGCCUUCGGCGCGGUGGCGGGGCCGGUUGAGGAAAGUCCGGGCUCCCGAACGGCCAGGCCUGCUGGGUAACGCCCAGUGCGGGUGACCGUGAGGACAGUGCCACAGAAACACACCGCCGAUGGCUCCGCUGCCGCUGCGGCGUUGGUGGGGAUCAGGCAAGGGUGCAAAGGUGCGGUAAGAGCGCACCAGCGGCAUCGAGAGGUGCCGGCUCGGUAAACCCCGGCCGGGAGCAAGGCCCAGGGACAACGGUUGGCCGACUUCCCCGUCCCGACUUCCAUGUGCCGCUCGAGGCCGCCGGUAACGGCGGUCCCAGACAGAUGAUCACCCUCCGGCCCUGCCCUCGGGCGGAUCCGGAGAACAGAACCCGGCUUACGUCCUGCUUUCACCC
rnacentral:RNase_P_RNA from 1 species